rnacentral:tRNA from 1 species
GUGGACAUAGUUUAACUAAAAUACUAGAUCGUGAUUCUAACAACAGAGGUUCAACCCCCCUUGUCCACC